rnacentral:rRNA from 1 species
UACAGAGGGUGCAAGCGUUGUUCGGAAUUAUUGGGCGUAAAGCGCGUGUAGGCGGCUUUGCAAGUCGGGUGUGAAAUCCCUCAGCUUAACUGAGGAAGUGCGCCCGAAACUGCAGAGCUUGAGUGCCGGAGAGGAUGGCGGAAUUCCCCAAGUAGAGGUGAAAUUCGUAGAUAUGGGGAGGAACACCGGUGGCGAAGGCGGCCAUCUGGCCGGUAACUGACGCUGAGGAGCGAAAGCAUGGGGAGCGAACAGG